UAAACGGACCAUCGAGUAUCCAUUGGAGGGCAAGUCUGGUGCCAGCAGCUGCGGUAAUACCAGCUCCAAUAGCGUAUAUUAAAGUUGUUGCAGUUAAAAAGCUCGUAGUUGGACUUGUGUGCGCUGUCCGCGGGUGGCCUGCGCCCAAAAGGGCGUUUCGGUUCGGCCCCGGUGGCGCCUUGAAAUCUGCAGCUGGGGGGACGUUGGCCUUAACUGGUCGGCGACCGCACGCCGGCUGCUCGGUUACUGUGAGAAAAUUAGAGUGUUCAAGGCAGGCAUUGGGUGCAAUUGAAUACAUUAGCAUGGAAUAAUAAAAUAUGGCUCCUGCCGUAUUUUGUUGGUUUUGACUGGUGGGAGUAAUGAUUGAUAGGGACGGUUGGGGGUGCUAGUAUUGAGCGGCCAGAGGUGAAAUUCAUGGAUUCGCUCAAGACUAACUUAUGCGAAAGCAUUCACCAAGGACGUCCUCUUUAAUCAAGAACGAAAGUUGGGGGAUCGAAGACGAUCAGAUACCGUCGUAGUCUCAACCAUAAACUAUGUCGACUUGGGAUCGGCGGUAGUUUUUUCAUUAAGACACUGUCGGGACCACGGGAGAAAUCAAAGUGUCUGGACUCUGGGGGAAGUAUGGUCGCAAGGCUGAAACUUGAAGGAAUUGACGGAAGGGCACCACCAGGAGUGGAGCCUGCGGCUUAAUUUGACUCAACACGGGGAAACUUACCAGGUCCAGAGAUGUAGAGGAUUGACAGAUUGAAGCUCUUUCUUGAUCACUUCGAUGGUGGUGCAUGGCCGUUCUUAGUUGGUGGAGUGAUUUGUCUGGUUAAUUCCGUUAACGAUCGAGACCUCAGCCUGCUAGUGUAGUCGGCUGGAUUGCCUUUAGCGAUCCGUGAUUUCGACUUCUUAGAGGGACAAUCGACGCGCAGUCGAUGGAAGUUUGAGGCAAUAACAGGUCUGUGAUGCCCUUAGAUGUUCUGGGCCGCACGCGCGCUACACUGCUGGGCUCAGCGAGUUUUACUUGGCCGAGAGGCCCGGUUAAUCUUGUGAAAUCCCAGCGUGCUUGGGCUCGCCUCCUGCAACUGGAGGCGCCAACGAGGAAUUCCUAGUAGACGCAGGUCAUCAACCUGCAUCGAUUACGUCCCUGCCCUUUGUACACACCGCCCGUCGUUCCAUAAGAGUGAGGCAUCCGGUGAAUUCUCGGGAGAGCCUGGGCGUGGCCAGCAAUGGUCUGCUCGGGUUUGAACUUGCAUAAACUUGGUGCCUAUGAUUAGGG
rnacentral:rRNA from 1 species